CCUACGGGGGGCAGCAGUGAGGAAUAUUGGUCAAUGGGCGGGAGCCUGAACCAGCCAAGUCGCGUGAGGGAAGACGGUCCUAUGGAUUGUAAACCUCUUUUAUAAGGGAAGAAUAAAUGCUACGUGUAGCAUGAUGCCUGUACAUUAUGAAUAAGCAUCGGCUAACUCCGUGCCAGCAGCCGCGGUAAUACGGAGGAUGCGAGCGUUAUCCGGAUUUAUUGGGUUUAAAGGGUGCGUAGGCGGUUUUUUAAGUUAGUGGUUAAACGUCGGGGCUUCACCUUGCUUUGCCAUUAAUACUGUAAGAC
rnacentral:rRNA from 1 species